rnacentral:tRNA from 1 species
GCUCGAGUGGUGGAAUAGGCAGACACAACGGACUUAAAAUCCGUCGGACUAACCCUCCGUGCCGGUUCGAGUCCGGCCUCGAGCACCA